rnacentral:lncRNA from 1 species
GGUGGGCUUGGUAGUAGUGAGUCUCCCAUACCCUACUAAGAGUUUCCUCCAAAACUCUCGAAUUCCAAUGAGAGAUAUGAAAUUUGCCAAAAAUAGUGGGUGGUGCUAUUUGAUUUAAAGACCCAGAUCAAAUGGCUUAAAAUCAAUCAAUUUAUAUUCGUUAUGUAUUUAUUUACCAAUAUAUUUGCAAACGCUAUCCAACACUUGACAAAUAAAACCCGAAAGCUUUAGUUUCCGAACUUGGUACUACGAAACCAUAGAUUGUCUUUAAUGGCUUGUAAAUGUAUCUAAGUAGUCUCAUCCUCACAAUCUUCCUAUUGAUAAUGUAUCAUUAGAAGAAUAUGUUAGAAAAAGUCUAUCAUAAAGAGGACAACACUUUUAUAAUGUCAUAAUUCUUCAAUUACAAAUUGUUUGUAUGAAGAAAUAAGAGUUGCUUUGAACAACCCUUAGUCAAUGCAAACACUAGUGCUUUUUCUUUGUUAAAUGAACAAAGAACUUGAGAAGAAAGCACAAUGGCAUGGACACUUUAUGUGCCAUGAUUCUUCACUUACAAAUUGUUGUAUGAAGAAAUGAGAGUUGCCUUGAACAACUCUUGAAAGUUUGUAAUUAUGUUUAGAACAUAAUGGUUGGUUACACAAAAAUAGUCCAUCAACAUGGACUUAUGAUGAUUUUGAAUCAUUGAGUGAUUGAAGUGUUAGACCACUUCAAGAGACAGAAACUAGGCAAGGACUUCACCUUUGUGUCCCUAUCCUAAUGGUUCGCUAAGUUUAUUGUAAACUAUAUAGUGAACAAUAAUUACAUGCUCUCCAAAAUGUUUGAUGUGUAUAACACAAUUGAAAUAAGUUUCAAGAGAGAUAGUGGGAGUUUA